CGCUGAACUUAAAGCAUAUCA
rnacentral:rRNA from 1 species